rnacentral:rRNA from 1 species
UACGGAGGGUGCAAGCGUUGUUCGGAAUCACUGGGCGUAAAGCGCGUGUAGGCGGUUCACUAAGUCUGAUGUGAAAGCCCGGGGCUCACCCCCGGAAGGGCAUUGGAAACUGGCGGACUCGAGUCCCGGAGAGGAGAGUGGAAUUCCUGGUGUAGUGGUGAAAUACGUAGAUAUCUGGAGGAACACCGGUGGCGAAGGCGGCGAUCUGGCCCAACACUGACACUGAGACCCG